rnacentral:rRNA from 1 species
GUUUGAUCCUGGCUCAGGAUGAACGCUAGCUACAGGCUUAACACAUGCAAGUCGAGGGGCAUCAGUUUGGUUUGCUUGCAAACCAAAGCUGGCGACCGGCGCACGGGUGAGUAACACGUAUCCAACCUACCUCAUACUCGGGGAUAGCCUUUCGAAAGAAAGAUUAAUAUCCGAUAGCAUAUAUUUCCCGCAUGGGUUUUAUAUUAAAGAAAUUCGGUAUGAGAUGGGGAUGCGUUCCAUUAGUUUGUUGGGGGGGUAACGGCCCACCAAGACUACGAUGGAUAGGGGUUCUGAGAGGAAGGUCCCCCACAUUGGAACUGAGACACGGUCCAAACUCCUACGGGAGGCAGCAGUGAGGAAUAUUGGUCAAUGGACGCGAGUCUGAACCAGCCAAGUAGCGUGAAGGAUGACUGCCCUAUGGGUUGUAAACUUCUUUUAUAUGGGAAUAAAGUGGUCCACGUGUGGACUUUUGUAUGUACCAUAUGAAUAAGGAUCGGCUAACUCCGUGCCAGCAGCCGCGGUAAUACGGAGGAUCCGAGCGUUAUCCGGAUUUAUUGGGUUUAAAGGGAGCGUAGGCGGAUUGUUAAGUCAGUUGUGAAAGUUUGCGGCUCAACCGUAAAAUUGCAGUUGAUACUGGCAGUCUUGAGUGCAGUAGAGGUGGGCGGAAUUCGUGGUGUAGCGGUGAAAUGCUUAGAUAUCACGAAGAACUCCGAUUGCGAAGGCAGCUCACUGGAGUGUAACUGACGCUGAUGCUCGAAAGUGUGGGUAUCAAACAGGAUUAGAUACCCUGGUAGUCCACACAGUAAACGAUGAAUACUCGCUGUUUGCGAUAUACAGUAAGCGGCCAAGCGAAAGCAUUAAGUAUUCCACCUGGGGAGUACGCCGGCAACGGUGAAACUCAAAUGAAUUGACGG